rnacentral:rRNA from 1 species
AGAACGAACGCUGGCGGCGUGCUUACACAUGCAAGUCGGAUGCGAACGGCGCUUUCGGGCGUUGAGUAGCAUGGCAGACGGGUGAGGAGCGCGUAUCUGACUGGACUCAGGCUGGGGGAUAGUCCCUCGAAAGGGGGUUGAAUACCGCAUGUGCUCGGUGCUGUGAGGGCAUCGAGGAAAGUUGGCCUCUGCGGGCACGCUGAUGGCCUGAGACAGGGAUGCGUCCUAUUAGCUAGCUGGUGGGGUAAGGGCCUACCAGGGCGACGAUGGGUAGCUGGUCUGAGAGGAUGAUCAGCCACACUGGGACUGCGACACGGCCCAGACUCCUACGGGAGGCAGCAGUGGGGAAUUUUGCGCAAUGGGCGCAAGCCUGACGCAGCAACGCCGCGUGCAUGACGACGCCUUUCGAGGUGUAAAGUGCUGUCGACCGGGACGAAGGGGCGAGGGUGAACAGCUUUCGCGCAUGACGGUACCGGUGGAGGAAGCCCCGGCUAACUCCGUGCCAGCAGCCGCGGUAAGACGGAGGGGGCGAGCGUUGUUCGGAAUUACUGGGCGUAAAGCGCGCGUAGGCGGUGCAGCAAGUGGUGCGUGAAAGCCCUCGGCUUAACCGGGGACGGGCGUGCCAAACUGUUGGACUGGAGUGCCGGAGGGGGAGGCGGAAUUCCUGGUGGAGCGGUGAAAUGCGUAGAGAUCAGG